GACAGAGGGUGCAAACGUUGUUCGGAAUUACUGGGCGUAAAGCGAGUGUAGGCGGUGUGGUAAGUCGGAUGUGAAAGCCCCGGGCUCAACCCGGGAAGUGCACUCGAUACUGCCACGCUAGAGUAUCGGAGAGGUUGGUGGAAUUCUCGGUGUAGAGGUGAAAUUCGUAGAUAUCGAGAGGAACACCGGUGGCGAAGGCGGCUCUCUGGACCGAUACUGACGCUGAGGCACGAAAGCGUGGGGAGCAAACAGG
rnacentral:rRNA from 1 species